CAAUACGGGAGCGGCAGACGGGUGAGUAACACGUGGGAACAUGCCCUUCGGUUCGGAAUAACUCAGGGAAACUUGAGCUAAUACCGGAUACGCCCUUACGGGGAAAGAUUUAUUGCCGAAGGAUUGGCCCGCGUCCGAUUAGCUAGUUGGUGAGGUAAUGGCUCACCAAGGCGACGAUCGGUAGCUGGUCUGAGAGGAUGAUCAGCCACACUGGGACUGAGACACGGCCCAG
rnacentral:rRNA from 1 species